rnacentral:rRNA from 1 species
ACCUGGUUGAUCCUGCCAGUAAUCAUAUGCUUGUCUCAAAGGCUAAGCCAUGCAAGUGUAAGUAUAAAUUGAAUUAUACAGUGAAACUGCGAAUGGCUCAUUAAAUCAGUUAUAGUUUAUUUGAUUGAUUUGAACAUUUGUUCAACUACAUGGAUAACUGUAGUAACAUAGAGCUAAUACAUGCAAAAUAAUCUGACUUUUUGGAAAGAUUUGCACUUAUUAGAAGAGAAACUAAUACCUUUCGGGGUUUAAUUAGGUGAGUCAUAAUAACUGAACGAAUCACAUGGUCUUGUACCGGUGAUAUAUCAUUCAAAUUUCUGCCCUAUCAACUUGAUGUUAGUAUAGAGGACUAAGAUGGUAGUAACGGGUAACGGGGAAUUAGGGUUCGAUUCCGGAGAAGGAGCAUGAGAAACGGCUACUAUUUCUAAGGAAAGCAGCAGGCGCGCAAAUUAUUCAAUGAUAAUAACAUAUCGAAAUAGUGACAAAAAAUAACAAUGCAUUAUACUCAUGUAUAAUGUAAUUGGAAUGAGUACAAUUUAAAACCCUUAACGAGUAACAAUUGGAGGGCAAGUCUGGUGCCAGCAGCCGCGGUAAUUCCAGCUCCAAUAGCGUAUAUUAAUAUUGUUGCAGUUAAAACGCUCGUAGUUGAAUUUUGAAUACUAUUAAUGUUUGGUUUUCUUGAUUGAAAACUACAUUAAUUUAUUCUUCCUACUAGUGACUCGAUUCUGUUCUUAAUUGAAUGGAAUAGCAUCUCUCGGGGUGUCAUUUAGUUUAUUUAAUUCCACCAUUUUAUCGUAGAGUGUAGAAACUUGAAAGUAAAAUGAGUGGGUUAAAUUAAAUAGAUUAAAUGGAGUUCUAGUUCAUUUACUUUGAGAAAAUUAGAGUGUUCAAAGCAGUCUCUUGGGACUUUGUAUAGAUUAGCAUGGGAUAAUAAAAUAGGAUCUAAUUAAUCUAUUUGUUGGUUUAAAUUAAUUAGAUAAUGAUUAAUAGGGACAGUUGGGGGUAUUCAUAUUAGAUGGUUAGCGGUGAAAUGCUCGGAUCCAUUUAAGAUGAACUAAAGCGAAAGCAUUUACCAAGGAUGUUUUCAUUAAUCAAGAACGAAAGUUAAGGGAUCGAAGACGAUCAGAUACCGUCGUAGUCUUAACUAUAAACUAUGCCGACCAGGGAUGUGAGUAGUUUCAACCUCAGAUGUAAAAGUUUGAGGAUAUCUUCUUAUGCACCUUGUGAGAAAUCAUAAGUGAUUAGGUUCUGGGGGAAGUAUGGUCGCAAGGCUGAAACUUAAAGGAAUUGACGGAGGGGCACCACCAGGAGUGGAGCGUGCGGCUCAAUUUGACUCAACACGGGAAAACUUACCAGGUCCAGACAUUAUUAGGAUUGACAGAUUGAGAGCUCUUUCAUGAUUUAAUGGGUGGUGGUGCAUGGCCGUUCUUAGUUGGUGGAGUGAUUUGUCUGGUUAAUUCCGUUAACGAACGAGACCUUUACCAGCUAAAUAGUAAUAUUUAUUCUUUUGGAUAGAUAGAAUAACUUCUUAGAGGGACUAUUGGUUUUAAACCAAAGGAAGUAAAGGCGAUAACAGGUCUGUGAUGCCCUUAGAUGUUCUGGGCUGCACGCGCGCUACAAUGAUAUGUUCAUCGAGUUAUUAAUAUUUUUAUAUUAUAAUACUUUACCUAAAGGUAUGGUUAAUCUUUAAAACAUAUCGUACUUGGGAUAGAUGAUUGCAAUUAUUUAUCUUGAACCAGGAAUUCCUAGUAGUCAUAACUCAUCAGGUUGUGACGAUUACGUCCCUGCCCCUUGUACACACCGCCCGUCGCUGCUACCGAUUGGAUGAUCCGGUGAAAUCGUCGGAUUGAUUUGUUUUUCUAAUUUUCGGGUUAGAUAUCAAAUUGAAAAGUUGAUUAAACCUUAUCAUCUAGAGGAAGCAAAAGUCGUAACAAGGUUUCCGUAGGUGAACCAGCGGAAG